rnacentral:rRNA from 1 species
GAGGGUGAUCGGCCACACUGGGACUGAGACACGGCCCAGACUCCUACGGGAGGCAGCAGUAGGGAAUCUUCGGCAAUGGACGGAAGUCUGACCGAGCAACGCCGCGUGAGUGAAGAAGGUUUUCGGAUCGUAAAGCUCUGUUGUAAGAGAAGAACGAGUGUGAGAGUGGAAAGUUCACACUGUGACGGUAUCUUACCAGAAAGGGACGGCUAACUACGUGCCAGCAGCCGCGGUAAUACGUAGGUCCCGAGCGUUGUCCGGAUUUAUUGGGCGUAAAGCGAGCGCAGGCGGUUAGAUAAGUCUGAAGUUAAAGGCUGUGGCUUAACCAUAGUACGCUUUGGAAACUGUUUAACUUGAGUGCAAGAGGGGAGAGUGGAAUUCCAUGUGUAGCGGUGAAAUGCGUAGAUAUAUGGAGGACACCGGUGGCGA